rnacentral:rRNA from 1 species
UACGUAGGGGGCAAGCGUUGUCCGGAUUUACUGGGCGUAAAGAGCGUGUAGGCGGCCACGCAGGUCCGUUGUGAAAACUGGAGGCUCAACCUCCAGCUGUCGACGGAAACCGUGUGGCUAGAGUCCGGAAGAGGAGAGUGGAAUUCCUGGUGUAGCGGUGAAAUGCGCAGAUAUCGGGAAGAACACCAAUGGCGAAGGCAGCUCUCUGGGACGGUACUGACGCUGAGACGCGAAAGCGUGGGGAGCGAACAGG